GACGAACCGUGCGAACGUUGUUCGGAAUCACUGGGCUUAAAGGGCGCGUAGGCGGGCCGCCAAGCCCGCGGUGAAAUCCCCCGGCUCAACCGGGGAACGGCCGCGGGGACUGCCGGCCUGGAGGGGGUAGGGGCGCGCGGAACGCCGGGUGGAGCGGUGAAAUGCGUUGAUAUCCGGCGGAACUCCGGUGGCGAAAGCGGCGCGCUGGGCCCCUUCUGACCGCUGAGGCG
rnacentral:rRNA from 1 species